rnacentral:rRNA from 1 species
CUAUUGCCAGCCGCCACCGUAAUACAGGCGCCUCAGGUGGUAGUUGCUUUUAUUGGGCCUAAAACGUCCGUAGCCGGUUUGAUACAUUCGUGGGUAAAUCAACCAGCUCAACUGGUUGAAUUCUGUCAGGACGGUCAGACUUGGGACCGGGAGAGGUGUGGGGUACGCUCAGGGUAGGGGUAAAAUCCUGUCAUCCUGAGCGGACCACCUGUUGCGAAGGCGCCACACCAGAACGGAUCCGACGGUCAGGGACGAAGCCUAGGGGCACGAACCGGAUUAGAUACCCGGGUAGUCCUAGGCGUAAACGCUGUGGGCUUGAUUUUGGGGGUGCUCCGACCACUCUCAGUGUGGAAGCGAAGGUGAUAAGUCCACUGCCUGGGAAGUACGGUCGCAAGGCUAAAACUUAAAGGAAUUGGCGGGGGAGCACCGCAACCUGAGGAUUGUGCGGUUUAAUUGGAUUCAACGCCGGAAAACUCACCAUAGCCGACGGACAUAUGAAGGUCAGUGUAAUGAACUUACCCGAUUGUUCGAGAGGUAGUGCAUGGCCGCCUUCAGUUCGUCCCGCAAGGCGUUCUGUUAAGUCAGAUAACGAACGAGACCCUCAUCUCUAUUUGCUAACUAGGUCUCCGGAUUUAGUGCACUAUAGAGGGACCGCUGCCGCUAAGUCAGAGGAAGGGGAGGGCAACGGUAGGUCAGUAUGCUCCGAAUGCUAUGGGCUACACGCGCAAUACAAAGGACGGGACAAUGGGCUGUUGCUCCGAAAGGAACGAUAGCUAUCCCGAAACCCGUUCGUAGUUCGGAUUGAGGGCUGUAACUCGCCCUCAUGAAGCUGGAUUAGGUAGUAAUCGCGUCUCAAAAAGGCGCGGUGAAUAUGCCCCUGCUCCUUGCACACACCGCCCGUC